UAGCGCAGAGGUAAGCGUGUCCGCCUGUGACGCUGAACGCCUGGGUUCGAAUCCUGG
rfam:Stomoxys calcitrans breed 8C7A2A5H3J4 unplaced genomic scaffold Scaffold855, whole genome shotgun sequence.